rnacentral:misc_RNA from 1 species
GUAACAAGGUUUCCGUUGGUGAACCAGCGGAGGGAUCAUUACCGAGUUUACAAACUCCCAAACCCCUGUGAACUUAUACCUAUACGUUGCUUCGGCGGGACUCGCCCCGGCUGCCAACCCGCUCGCGGGGAGGCGGACCGGACCCAGGCGCCCGCCGGAGGACCCAAACUCUUCUGUCUCUCAUAGCGGCAUGUCUGAGUGGAUUUUUAUACAAAAUGAAUCAAAACUUUCAACAACGGAUCUCUUGGUUCUGGCAUCGAUGAAGAACG